CAAAGGGGCCCAGAGUGGGUGGACACUGGAGGGGUGGCAAAGGAUUCCUCCAGACCAGAGGCUGACCUCUUUCCCGCAGGAGUGAGGGAGAGACCCUCUCCCCAGGCAGGGCAGGCCGAUGAGUCCCGUAAAGCCAGUGGACGCACCAGAGGAUCCCGCAAGUUUGCCUUUGAUGGACAGUAAUCCUUCUUUUUUACUUGGAGAAUGGAACCUGGACAGAGGUUCACCCUGGAGGCAGACGGAUGAAAGAGAAGCAGGAGAGUGACAGGGUGUGACCGAGUUCUUCAGGAAGAUCUCCAUGGGAGACUGCAGGAGCUGUCUUGAAAGUUUCCUGGUGCACUGGGAGAAAAUGCUGGAGACAACAGCAUCACCAACCACAGCCCCAGCUACAGCCCAAUCCAGGGCCACGGCCGUACUCCCAUCGCCUGUAUGCUCCUGGUGAUCCUCACCUGCUCCAUUCUCCUUGGCGUCCUAGGAUGUAUCUUUACAGUAAUAGGCUAACGAUGCUCCCAAGAAGGCCCUGAGGGUGUGGUCUAUGCCAGGGACUCUGCCUUCUGGUUGGCCUCCUUUGGAUCACCUGCUGUUCUUUUCUAGACCACCAGGAGUUCAGACCUUACAAAUGCAGAGACCGCCUUCAGAUCACGGCCAUUGGGGGAACACCAUCUCGUACCACCGUUCCUGACCAUCAGCAAAAGUCAUCAUUGAGCUUUUGGAGAAUUCUGAGACCCUUCUUAGCCAUGCUUUCUUUGCAGGCUUGGCAAUCACACUCUUUUCUAUAAAUCACUGUCAUUCUUAAAGCCAGAUCUGGACAACGAUGGUGUGAGGUUCAAGGUGAGGUCAAUGGAAACAAGUUUCUCUAUUUCUCUACUAUCACUGUGGUAGCGAGAAGGUCACACCCAUUGGUCCUCUGGGCAUGAAGGUGAAUGCCACAGACACCUGGGAGAGACAGUCAGAAACUCUGACAGACCUGGUGGAAGAGCUCAAAAGGAAACUGCUUGACAUUAAGCCACAGAUUUCCACAACCAGCGCAUCACCACCCACAGGCCCAGGUACAACCCAUUCCAGGGCCGUGGCCAUCACUCCUGUCACCUGGAUCUUCCUGGUGCCCCUCACCUUCUCUGUUCUCCUUGGCAUCCUAGGCUGAGUCCAUCUCGUAACAGAGGCUGGAGUUGCUACCAAGAAGCCCCUGGGCGUCUGCCCUCGUUCCUCCACUCUCCCUUCUGGUUGGCGGCCUUGCCAUCACCUGCUCUUCCUCUCUCCACCACCAGGAGUUUCAGCCCCUACAGCAAAGGCAGAGGCCCCAGGAGUCCUGAUGACCAGGGAGAUGCAGCUUUGCCUUCCCUUUAUGCGCUUGGCUGAUAAUCUGCUUGACACUUUUUCUAAGCAUCGGGGCCAUUUCUCUCGGUGCUAAGUGUUGGGAUUCCUGCACUGAGCCUUCGAACUGCUCGAACAAGAAUCUCAACCCAGAGUCUGUUUCCACCUUCUCUCUGGUUGUGGAAAAUCAGAUGCAUCUCUAUGUCCUGACCCUGUUCUUGCACAUGAUAUUGCCAGAAAACUGUCGUGUGAGACUGCAGAACUUCCGGGAUUCUUUAUGUGUCCUGAGAAACAGCUUUGUGUGUUUUCAACAGAACAAGAUUAUAUUUAUGAUUGUUUCCUUUCAUAAUUUAUUGUCUUGCCACGGAUAUUUAAGUGAAUAUCUUACUUUUUUAAAAGAUUAAAUUAUUUCAGAAUUUCAUUUUAUAACCC
ensembl:lncRNA